GGCUGGUCUGAUGGCAGUGGGUUAUCAAAGCUUGUUAACAUUAGUGUCACUGCAGUUGGUAUACAGACCCCCACUGCUAAAUUUGACUGGCUUUAA
ensembl:Y_RNA Y_RNA Y RNA